UCCGAGUUGACCCCGGCAGUCUCCUAUGAGUCCCCGGCAUUAUCCGCUGGCAACAUAGAACGAGGGUUGCGCUCGUUGCGGGACUUAACCCAACAUCUCACGACACGAGCUGACGACAACCAUGCACCACCUGUGCACAGACCUUGCGGGGCCGACAUCUCUGCCGGUUUCCUGUACAUGUCAAGCCUUGGUAAGGUUCUUCGCGUUGCGUCGAAUUAAGCCACAUGCUCCGCCGCUUGUGCGGGCCCCCGUCAAUUCCUUUGAGUUUUAGCCUUGCGGCCGUACUCCCCAGGCGGGGCGCUUAAUGCGUUAGCUACGGCACAGAGAGCGUGGAAGACUCCCUACACCUAGCGCCCAACGUUUACAGCGUGGACUAC
rnacentral:misc_RNA from 1 species